GGCACUGUGGCUUAGUUGGUUAAAGCACCUGUCUUGUAAACCGAAGAUCCUGGGUUCAAAUCCCAGCAGUGUCU
rnacentral:tRNA from 1 species